rnacentral:rRNA from 1 species
GACGAACGCUGGCGGCGUGCCUAACACAUGCAAGUCGAACGGGACUUGCCCCUUCGGGGACAAGUUUAGUGGCGAACGGGUGAGUAACGCGUGAGGAACCUGCCUUUCAGUGGGGGAUAACAGUUGGAAACGGCUGCUAAUACCGCAUAAGCGCACAGUACCGCAUGGUACGGUGUGAAAAACUCCGGUGGUAUGAGAUGGACCCGCGUCUGAUUAGCUAGUUGGUGGGGUAACGGCCUACCAAGGCGACGAUCAGUAGCCGACCUGAGAGGGUGACCGGCCACAUUGGGACUGAGACACGGCCCAA